rnacentral:tRNA from 1 species
GGGGGCGGAUAGGUACUGGUGUGCCUCCUGGUCUUCAAAACCAGCCGUUGGGCGUUAGUAGCGUCCUGGGUGGGUUCGAUUCCCACACGUUCCCGCCA